AGCCUACUCAAUGUGAAGACAAGGAUGAAGACCUUUAUGAUGAUCCAUUUCCAUUUGGUGAAUGCCUCUUUCAAAAGAAGACGUAAGACAUCUGGCGUCAAGAAGAAUAAAUACAAUACCAUUAAAGAAUUAUAAACAGAACCAGAGCCAGAGAAGAAUACCAUUUUUACUUGACAGAUGACUGACACAAAACUUGGUUACACAGACGAGUAUUCAGCAGAUACUUUCUCGAAAAUGAAC